rnacentral:rRNA from 1 species
GACGAACGCUGGCGGCGUGCCUAAUACAUGCAAGUAGAACGCUGAAGGAGGAGCUUGCUUCUCUGGAUGAGUUGCGAACGGGUGAGUAACGCGUAGGUAACCUGCCUGGUAGCGGGGGAUAACUAUUGGAAACGAUAGCUAAUACCGCAUAAUAGUAGAUGUUGCAUGACAUUUGCUUAAAAGGUGCAAUUGCAUCCCUACCAGAUGGACCUGCGUUGUAUUAGCUAGUUGGUGGGGUAACGGCUCACCAAGGCGACGAUACAUAGCCGACCUGAGAGGGUGAUCGGCCACACUGGGACUGAGACACGGCCCAGACUCCUACGGGAGGCAGCAGUAGGGAAUCUUCGGCAAUGGACGGAAGUCUGACCGAGCAACGCCGCGUGAGUGAAGAAGGUUUUCGGAUCGUAAAGCUCUGUUGUAAGAGAAGAACGAGUGUGAGAGUGGAAAGUUCACACUGUGACGGUAGCUUACCAGAAAGGGACGGCUAACUACGUG